CGGGCAUUGGUGGCACACGCCUUUAAUUCCAGCACUCGGGAGGCAGUGGCAGGCAGCUGUCUGUGAGUUCAAGGCCAGCCUGGUCUCCAGAGCAAGUGCCAGGAUAGGCUCCAAAGCUACACAGAGAAACCCUGUCUCGAAAAAACAAAAAAGAAAAAGAAAAAAGAAAAGAAAAGAAAGAAAGAAAGAAAGAAAGAAAGAAAGAAAGAAAGAGAAAAGAAAAAUCUAAAUGGAUUUUUGUUAAAGAGAAAGGAAAAAAAGAGCAACCUGCAUGUGCUGAUUGCCAGUCUCUGUUCAUGGUGAGAGAAUGGACUCUUGCCCCUGAUGGCCCCAAGCUCUGGAUCUGAAUGGUAGACUUUUCAUCCUUGGAAUCAGAGCCUUUGUCCAGUAAUUGACGGAAACAGAGGCAGAGAACUACAACCAAGCACCAGGCUGAGUUCUGAGAAUCCAGUCAACGAGAGGUAGGAGGGAAU
rnacentral:lncRNA from 1 species